GCGAUUCGACGUGGUCUGAUUAGUUGAUUGUCUUGUUUUUAGUUUUGUUAUUUUUUUUAUUUAAUUGAAGAAUCAUUUAUGUUGUUGUAAUUUUUGAUUUAAUUUUUUAGGUGAUAGAUUAUUUGUACUGUGAGGGGUUGGAUUUGUAAUAUCUUUUUGAAAGUUGAUUUUGUUUGUCGUACCUUGUGUAUCAGGGUUCAUUGAAUUUUAUUAUUUAUUUUUAUUUCCCGAUUUUAAAGGAGUUAAUGAUUUAUGUUAGUUACUGUUUCAGUAGUAUUAAUAAUAAUUUGUUGGUAGUGAAAUGUUAUUCGUCUUUGGUGGUUUCUGGUUUUUCAAGAAAUGAAUUUAAUUCAUGCAUCUUAUUUAAUUUCUGUUUUUAUUUAUUUAUUUUUAUUUGAUGUUAAGAUUAAGGGGGAUUAGCUCUUUAUUUUAUUUUUAGAAUUUUUUGUUUGAUUUAGUUUUGUGGAUUUUAUAGUGAUUUUCAAUUUGAUUAUGUUAAAAUUUUAUUUGUCUUUUUGUUUCUUUUAGGGUUGUGAUUUAAGGUUUUAUUGGAAUGUUUGUUUUAGUUUGUGAUUGUAUGGUAAUUAUUGUGUAAUUAGUAAAUCUUGUUUAAUUGCGUUGUAUUAUGAGACGAUAAUUUUCUUUGAGGAAUUAGGCAAAAAUAUUGUGUCCGCCUGUUUAACAAAAACAUCUUUUCUUGUUAGUUUUUGAAGUAUGGCCUGCCCGCUGACUUUGAGUUGAAGGGCCGCGGUAUUUUGACCGUGCAAAGGUAGCAUAAUCAUUAGUUCUUUAAUUGUGAUCUGGUAUGAAUGGCUUGACGAGACAUGAGCUGUCUUAAGGGUAUUUGUUGUUGAAUUUAGUCUUUGAGUUAAAAUUCUUAAAUGUUUUUAUGGGACGAGAAGACCCUAUAGAGUUUGACAUAUUGCUUUGCCUGUAUUUUGUUGUUUGUUUUAAGGUUUGGUUGGGGUUGUAUGUUUUGUUGGGGUGAUGGGAGGUAUUUUCUUAACUCCUCUUUGUUUAUUAUAUAUUUAUUUAUAUUUGUUUGAUCCAUUUAUUUUGAUUAUAAGAUUAAAUUACCUUAGGGAUAACAGCGUUAUCCUCCUUGAGAGUUCUUAUUGGCAGGGGGGUUUGCGACCUCGAUGUUGGAUUAAGGUGAAUUUUUGGUGUAGGAGCUGAAGUUGAUUAGGUCUGUUCGACCUUUAAAAUCUUACAUGAUCUGAGUUCAAACCGGCGUGAGCCAGGUUGGUUUCUAUCUAUAAUAAUAUUUAUAUCUUAGUACGAGAGGACCGGAUAUUUGAAAUAAUUUUGUUUACAAUAUGAUUUUCAUUAACGUUAUUACUAUUUUGGCAGAUAAGUGCACUGGAUUUAGAAUCUAUUAA
rnacentral:rRNA from 1 species